GACGAACGCUGGCGGCGUGCUUAACACAUGCAAGUCGAACGGAAAGGCCCUGCUUUUGUGGGGUGCUCGAGUGGCGAACGGGUGAGUAACACGUGAGUAACCUGCCCUUGACUUUGGGAUAACUUCAGGAAACUGGGGCUAAUACCGGAUAGGAGCUCCUGCUGCAUGGUGGGGGUUGGAAAGUUUCGGCGGUUGGGGAUGGACUCGCGGCUUAUCAGCUUGUUGGUGGGGUAGUGGCUUACCAAGGCUUUGACGGGUAGCCGGCCUGAGAGGGUGACCGGCCACAGUGGGACUGAGAUACGGCCCAGACUCAUACGGGAGGCAGCAGUGGGGAAUAUUGCACAAUGGGCGGAAGCCUGAUGCAGCAACGCCGCGUGCGGGAUGACGGCCGUCGGGUUGUAAACCGCUUUCGCCUGUGACGAAGAGUGAGUGACGGUAAUGGGUAAAGAAGCAACGGCUAACUACGUG
rnacentral:rRNA from 1 species